CUAAGACUAUUUACUAAAAGUAUUUAGGCUAAGUUAGGAGCUCUCUGAGAGUGUUCUUAGAAUGUUAGUGAAUACAGCCCCUGGUCUACAUGAUUUUUCUAAGAUUAUUUUUUGGCAUUUUGCCUUUAUUGGAUAGGAAAGGGGGAGAGAGAGGGUAUGACAUGCAGCAAAGGGCUACAAGGACAUGGCCUUUGUAUAUGAGGGGCCCGCUCUACCAGCAGCCACUACAGGACACACCCACUACCGGUUCGUCCUUUUUGCAUCCAUCCUCCAGAUGAUCCUGUCCUUAUCUCCAUGACCUCUUCACUAUGCUGCUAACCAGUGUCACAUGUGAGGCAGCAUUCCUGUACCAAAGUCAUCUGUCAUCUAUCAUGGUUUUUUCUCAUCCUGCUGUCAAGAUGGCACCGCCGAUGGCUGCCUCAACAUGAUGCACAAGAACAACAGGGGGAUGCAAUAGAGCCUGAACUCACCCCGCAAUGAAACAACCCCCUUACCCUGAGUCUCAACUCUGUGGGUUUUGCAAGCCUUUCCCUGUUCCUUAUUUUUAAUAAACC